GCCCCAGUAGUUCAACGGAUAGAACGGCGGAUUCCUAAUCCGCAAAUGGGGGUUCGAUUCCUCCCUGGGGCACCA
rnacentral:tRNA from 8 species